ACAACCGGAGGCUGCAGUUUCAGGACAGCAGUUCUAGGACCCUAUGCUUUUGUAACAGCGCUACCUACCGAAUUGGAUCACUAAAGAUGGACGACAUGCACAGCAGUCGGAGCAUGGUCAGCGGUUUGCCUUCUGGACUGAUGAGGCCAGAAACUUGCUCCAAGGAACUCUUCAGCCAGUGUACAGAGUGCUAUCUCAGAGGAAAUCCACAUCCAGGCUGUCGAUGACCACACCGCAGAGGGUGUACUCAACGGGAAGCCCUCUAAGUGGUCUCAUAAGCUAACCGCCUCCCGAGUGCCUGUCUACCUCGACAGUGAGGAACAACUGUCCUGUUUACCGAUCUGAGAGGAGUGCUGCAGAGGACACCAACACAACUGAGCUUCACAAAUGACGUG